rnacentral:rRNA from 1 species
GACGAACGCUGGCGGCGCGCUUAACACAUGCAAGUCGAGCGAAGCGGCGGACGGGUGAGUAACACGUGAGUAACCUGCCUUAGAAAUUGGGAUAGACUCGGGAAACCGGGAUUAAUACCAAAUGGUCUAAGAUGGGCUCGCGUCCCAUUAGCUAGUUGGUGGGUAACGGCCCACCAAGGCGACGAUGGGUAACCUGGCUGGGAUGGUGGACGGCCACAUUUGAGCUGAGAAGCGGUCCAAACUCUACGGGAUGCAGCAGUGUGUAAUAUUGCACAAUGGAGGGAACUCUGAAGCAGCUACGCCGCGUGAACGAAGAAGUCUUUCGAGUCGAAAAGUUCUUUUAUAUGGGAAGCGGUACCUUAAGAAAAAGCCCCGGCUAACUACGUGCCAGCAGCCGCGGUAAUAC